GGAGGGGUGGCCGAGUCAGGUUUAAGGCGGCGGUCUUGAAAACCGUUAGGCGAUGAGCCUCGUGGGUUCGAAUCCUACCCCCUCCGCCA
rnacentral:tRNA from 1 species